CCCAGCAAGGCAUACAGUGGGCACGGUGGCACGGGCCUGUAACCCCAGCAAGGCAUACAGUGGGCACGGUGGUACGGGCCUGUAACCCCAGCAAGGCAUACAGUGGGCACGGUGGCACGCGCCUGUAACCCCAGCAAGGCAUACAGUGGGCACGGUGGCACGCGCCUGUAACCCCAGCAAGGCAUACAGUGGGCACGGUGGCACGUGCCUGUAACCCCAGCAAGGCAUACAGUGGGCACGGUGGCACGGGCCUGUAACCCCAGCAA
rnacentral:lncRNA from 1 species